rnacentral:rRNA from 1 species
GACGAACGCUGGCGGCGCGCUUAACACAUGCAAGUCGAGCGAAGCGGCGGACGGGUGAGUAACACGUGAGUAACCUGCCUUAGACAUUGGGAUAGCCUCGGGAAACCGGGAUUAAUACCAAAUGGUCUAAGAUGGACUCGCGUCCCAUUAGUUAGUUGGUGAGGUAACGGCCCACCACGGCGACGAUGGGUAGCCGGCCUGUGAGGGUGAGCGGCGACAUUGGAACUGGGAAGCGGUCCAAACUCUACGGGAGGGAGCAGUGGGGAAUAUUGCACAAUGGAGGGAACUCUGAUGCAGCGAGGCCGCGAGAACGAAGAAGGCUGUCGAGUCGUAAAGUGCUUUUAUAUGGGAAGCGGUACCAAAAGAAAAAGCCCCGGCUAACUACGUGCCAGCCGCCGCGGUAAUAC